AGUGAACGCUGGCGGUAGGCCUAACACAUGCAAGUCGAACGGCCGCACAGUAAGAGCUUGCUCUUACGGGUGGCGAGUGGCGGACGGGUGAGGAAUACAUCGGAAUCUACUUUUUCUUGGGGGAUAACGUAGGGAAACUUACGCUAAUACCUCAUACGACCUACGGGUGAAAGCAGGGGAUCUUCGGACCUUGCGUGAUUGAUUGAGCCGAUGUCGGAUUAGCUAGUUGGCGAGGUAAAGGCCCACCAAGGCGACGAUCCGUAGCUGGUCUGAGAGGAUGAUCAGCCACACUGGAACUGAGACACGGUCCAGACUCCUACGGGAGGCAGCAGUGGGGAAUAUUGGACAAUGGGCGCAAGCCUGAUCCAGCCAUACCGCGUGGGUGAAGAAGGCCUUCGGGUUGUAAAGCCCUGUUGUUGGGAAAGAAAAGCAGCAGGUGAAUAUCCCGCUGUUCUGACGGUACCCAAAGAAUAAGCACCGGCUAACUUCGUG
rnacentral:rRNA from 1 species